CUCGCAGCGCGGGGGCGAAAAGGGACACACAGAGCCCUUCCCGGCUGUGGACAGGAGCUGCCUCGGCUGAAGCUGGAGACGCCAACGAAAGGUGGAGAACGGCCUAGAGUCUGGAGCUGCAGAAGAGGCAGGGCGGAGAGGAGGGGAAAGAAGCAUCUGAACGGCUAAAUUGUGCCAGCAGCGCUGAGAGCGAGAGUCGCGAGACCGUGCUGAGGACGUGGUUGUCUGUCCUUCCCCCGGGGAUGCCGUUGACUGCAGCCGUCUCAGGCUCGCGUGGCUUCUCUCUGCCCGGUGUUGCCAUCCUCGCAGCGCGGGGGCGAAAAGGGACACACAGAGCCCUUCCCGGCUGUGGACAGGAGCUGCCUCGGCUGAAGCUGGAGACGCCAACGAAAGGUGGAGGACGGCCUAGAGUCUGGAGCUGCAGAAGAGGCAGGGCGGAGAGGAGGGGAAAGAAGCAUCUGAACGGCUAAAUUGUGCCAGCAGCGCUGAGAGCGAGAGUCGCGAGACCGUGCUGAGGACGUGGUUGUCUGUCCUUCCCCCGGGGAUGCCGUUGACUGCAGCCGUCUCAGGCUUGCGUGGCUUCUCUC